GAGUUUGAUCCUGGCUCAGGACGAACGCUGGCGGCGCGCCUAACACAUGCAAGUCGAACGGAGCUGAGAGGAGCUUGCUUUUCUUAGCUUAGUGGCGAACGGGUGAGUAACGCGUGAGUAACCUGCCCUGGAGUGGGGGACAACAGUUGGAAACGACUGCUAAUACCGCAUAAGCCCACGGCCCGGCAUCGGGCUGCGGGAAAAGGAUUUAUUCGCUUCAGGAUGGACUCGCGUCCAAUUAGCUAGUUGGUGAGGUAACGGCCCACCAAGGCGACGAUUGGUAGCCGGACUGAGAGGUUGAACGGCCACAUUGGGACUGAGACACGGCCCAGACUCCUACGGGAGGCAGCAGUGGGGGAUAUUGCACAAUGGGGGAAACCCUGAUGCAGCGACGCCGCGUGGAGGAAGAAGGUUUUCGGAUUGUAAACUCCUGUCGUUAGGGACGAUAAUGACGGUACCUAACAAGAAAGCACCGGCUAACUACGUGCCAGCAGCCGCGGUAAAACGUAGGGUGCAAGCGUUGUCCGGAAUUACUGGGUGUAAAGGGAGCGCAGGCGGACCGGCAAGUUGGAAGUGAAAACCAUGGGCUCAACCCAUGAAUUGCUUUCAAAACUGCUGGCCUUGAGUAGUGCAGAGGUAGGUGGAAUUCCCGGUGUANCGGUGGAAUGCGUAGAUAUCGGGAGGAACACCAGUGGCGAAGGCGAACUACUGGGCACCAACUGACGCUGAGGCUCGAAAGCAUGGGUAGCAAACAGGAUUAGAUACCUGGUAGUCCAUGCCGUAAACGAUGAUUACUAGGUGUUGGAGGAUUGACCCCUUCAGUGCCGCAGUUAACACAAUAAGUAAUCCACCUGGGGAGUACGACCGCAAGGUUGAAACUCAAAGGAAUUGACGGGGGCCCGCACAAGCAGUGGAGUAUGUGGUUUAAUUCGAAGCAACGCGAAGAACCUUACCAGGUCUUGACAUCCGAUGCAUAGCACAGAGAUGUGUGAAGUCCUUCGGGACAUCGAGACAGGUGGUGCAUGGUUGUCGUCAGCUCGUGUCGUGAGAUGUUGGGUUAAGUCCCGCAACGAGCGCAACCCUUAUUGCCAGUUACUACGCAAGAGGACUCUGGCGAGACUGCCGUUGACAAAACGGAGGAAGGUGGGGAUGACGUCAAAUCAUCAUGCCCUUCAUGACCUGGGCUACACACGUACUACAAUGGCGUUUAACAAAGAGAAGCAAGACCGCGAGGUGGAGCAAAACUCAGAAACAACGUCUCAGUUCAGAUUGCAGGCUGCAACUCGCCUGCAUGAAGUCGGAAUUGCUAGUAAUCGCGGAUCAGCAUGCCGCGGUGAAUACGUUCCCGGGCCUUGACACAC
rnacentral:rRNA from 1 species